rnacentral:rRNA from 1 species
GACAGAGGCCUCGAGCGUUAUUCGGAAUCACUGGGCGUAAAGUGCACGUAGGUGGCUUGGUAAGUUAGACGUGAAAUCCCUCGACUCAAUCGAGGACAUGCAUCUAAUACUGCUAGGCUAGAGUAUAGGAGGGGAGAACGGAAUUUCUGGUGUAGAGGUGAAAUUCGCAGAUAUCAGAAGGAACAACAGUGGCGAAAGCGGUUCUCUGGACUAUAACUGACACUGAGGUGCGAAAGCGUGGGGAGCAAACAGG